GCUGGGUGUGAGAGCACAUGCCUGUAAUCCCAGUGGCUUGGGAGGCUGAGGCAGGAGGAUUGCAAGUUCAAAGCCAGCCUCAGCAACUUGGUGAGGCCCUAGGCAACUUAGGAAGACCCUGUCUCAA
rnacentral:sRNA from 1 species